rnacentral:rRNA from 1 species
GACGAACGCUGGCGGCGUGCUUAACACAUGCAAGUCGAACGGAAAGGCCCUGCUUUUGUGGGGUGCUCGAGUGGCGAACGGGUGAGUAACACGUGAGUAACCUGCCCUUGACUUUGGGAUAACUUCAGGAAACUGGGGCUAAUACCGGAUAGGAGCUCCUGCUGCAUGGUGGGGGUUGGAAAGUUUCGGCGGUUGGGGAUGGACUCGCGGCUUAUCAGCUUGUUGGUGGGGUAGUGGCUUACCAAGGCUUUGACGGGUAGCCGGCCUGAGAGGGUGACCGGCCAAAUGGGGAAUGGGAAACGGCCCAGACUCCUAGGGGAGGAAGAAGUGGGGAAUAUGGAAAAAGGGGGGGAAGCCUGAUGCAGCAACGGCGGGGGGGGGAUGACGGCCUUGGGGUGGUAAACCGCUUCGGCCUGGGACGAAGCGGGAGGGACGGUAAGGGGUAAAGAAGCACCGGCUAAAUACGG